rfam:Bacterium TMED88 isolate TMED88 MHASMcontig_369914, whole genome shotgun sequence.
GCUCAUUUGGUGGAAUUGGUAGACACGGUAGAUUCAAAAUCUACUCCUUCACGGGUUAUCGGUUCAAGUCCGAUAAUGAGUA